GACGAACGCUGGCGGCGUGCUUAACACAUGCAAGUCGAACGGAAAGGCCCUGCUUUUGUGGGGUGCUCGAGCGGCGAACGGGUGAGUAACACGUGAGUAACCUGCCCUUGACUUUGGGAUAACUUCAGGAAACUGGGGCUAAUACCGGAUAGGAGCUCCUGCUGCAUGGUGGGGGUUGGAAAGUUUCGGCGGUUGGGGUUGGACUCGCGGCUUAUCAGCUUGUUGGUGGGGUAGUGGCUUACCAAGGCUUUGACGGGUAGCCGGCCUGAGAGGGUGACCGGCCACAUUGGGCCUGAGAUACGGCCCAGACUCCUACGGGAGGCAGCAGUGGGGAAUAUUGCACAAUGGGCGGAAGCCUGAUGCAGCAACGCCGCGUGCGGGAUGACGGCCUUCGGGUUGUAAACCGCUUUCGCCUGUGACGAAGCGUGAGUGACGGUAAUGGGUAAAGAAGCACCGGCUAACUACGUG
rnacentral:rRNA from 1 species